UGGGGCGUCGCCAAGUGGUAAGGCACCGGUUUUUGGUAUCGGCAUUCGCAGGUUCGAAUCCUGCCGCCCCAGCCA
rnacentral:tRNA from 7 species